GAUGAACGCUGGCGGCGUGCCUAAUACAUGCAAGUCGAGCGAACAGACGAGGAGCUUGCUCCUCUGACGUUAGCGGCGGACGGGUGAGUAACACGUGGAUAACCUACCUAUAAGACUGGGAUAACUUCGGGAAACCGGAGCUAAUACCGGAUAAUAUAUUGAACCGCAUGGUUCAAUAGUGAAAGACGGUUUUGCUGUCACUUAUAGAUGGAUCCGCGCCGCAUUAGCUAGUUGGUAAGGUAACGGCUUACCAAGGCAACGAUGCGUAGCCGACCUGAGAGGGUGGUCGGCCACACGGGAACUGAGACACGGUCCAGACUCCUACGGGAGGCAGCAGUAGGGAAUCUUCCGCAAUGGGCGAAAGCCUGACGGAGCAACGCCGCGUGAGUGAUGAAGGUCUUCGGAUCGUAAAACUCUGUUAUUAGGGAAGAACAAAUGUGUAAGUAACUAUGCACGUCUUGACGGUACCUAAUCAGAAAGCCACGGCUAACUACGUG
rnacentral:rRNA from 1 species